rnacentral:rRNA from 1 species
AGUGAACGCUGGCGGUAGGCCUAACACAUGCAAGUCGAACGGCAGCACAGUAAGAGCUUGCUCUUACGGGUGGCGAGUGGCGGACGGGUGAGGAAUACAUCGGAAUCUACUUUUUCGGGGGGGAUAACGUAGGGAAACUUACGCUAAUACCGCAUACGACCUACGGGUGAAAGCAGGGGAUAUUCGGACCUUGCGCGAUUGAAUGAGCCGAUGUCGGAUUAGCUAGUUGGCGAGGUAAAGGCCCACCAAGGCGACGAUCCGUAGCUGGUCUGAGAGGAUGAUCGGCCACACUGGAACUGAGACACGGUCCAGACUCCUACGGGAGGCAGCAGUGGGGAAUAUUGGACAAUGGGCGCAAGCCUGAUCCAGCCAUACCGCGUGGGUGAAGAAGGCCUUCGGGUUGUAAAGCCCUUUUGUUGGGAAAGAAAAGCAGCAGGUUAAUACCCCGCUGUUCUGACGGUACCCAAAGAAUAAGCACCGGCUAACUUCGUG